rnacentral:rRNA from 1 species
GACGAACGCUGGCGGCGUGCUUAACACAUGCAAGUCGUACGGUAAGGCCCUUUCGGGGGUACACGAGUGGCGAACGGGUGAGUAACACGUGAGUAACCUGCCCACAACUUUGGGAUAACGCUAGGAAACUGGUGCUAAUACUGGAUAUGUUCUCCUGCUGCAUGGUGGGGGUUGGAAAGCUCCGGCGGUUGUGGAUGGACUCGCGGCCUAUCAGCUUGUUGGUGGGGUAGUGGCCUACCAAGGCGGCGACGGGUAGCCGGCCUGAGAGGGUGACCGGCCACAUUGGGACUGAGAUACGGCCCAGACUCCUACGGAAGGCGGCAGUGGAGAAUAUUGCACAAUGGGCGCAAGCCGGAUGCAGCAACGCCGCGUGCGGGAUGACGGCCUUCGGGUUGUAAACCGCUGUCAGCAGGGACGAAGCUUUUUGUGACGGUACCUGCAGAAGAAGCACCGGCUAACUACGUG